rnacentral:rRNA from 1 species
UUGGCCCAGAUCGUUUACCGUGAAAAAAUUAGAGUGUUCAAAGCAGGCAGAUCCAAUUUUCUGCCACCGAAUACAUUAGCAUGGGAUAAUGGAAUAGGACCCUGUCCUCCUAUUUUCAGUUGGUUUUGGCAGCGCGAGGACUAGGGUAAUGAUUAAUAGGGAUAGUUGGGGGCAUUAAUAUUUAAUUGUCAGAGGUGAAAUUCUUGGAUUUAUGAAAGAUUAACUUCUGCGAAAGCAUCUGCCAAGGAUGUUUUCAUUAAUCAAGAACGAAAGUUAGGGGAUCGAAGACGAUCAGAUACCGUCGUAGUCUUAACCAUAAACGAUGCCGACCAGCGAUUAGGAGACGUUGAAUACAAAACACCACCAUCGGUUGCGGUCGUCCUGGCGUCUCGUUUCGGCCGGGCGCGGGACGUUAGCCCGGCCCGAA